UAUUGCAGUGAAACUUGCCAAGGGACAUGUCAGCAAAUAUUAACAUGGCUGUAUGUAUACUUUUGACCCUCACAUGUUCAGUAGAGCCAUAAUAAAUUCAUAAAAGAAGCAAACUUUAUGAAUGUUUUUUGUGACCAACAAGUAUGUCCUCCAAUCACUACAUCACAAAAAAAUAAGAGUUGUAGUUAUUACUGGAAACUCCAGACAGCCAUGACAUUAUGUUCUUUACAAGUGUAUGUAAACUUUUGACCGCGACUGUACUUUCCUGUACUUCCAUUUUGCAGAGACUCGCAUGACAAACCCUUAAGGCAGACCUGGGCAAAUUAAGGCCCCGGGGGCCACAUGCGGCCCGUUAAGAUUUUCAGUCUGGCCCGCCGGGCAGUCGCAAAAAUGUUUUUUUUUUUCGAUCUUUAAGAUGUAAAGUAUAGUUGCCAUUAUGAUGUGCACUCAUGUUUUCUAAUGACCAUAAGUCUUCAACUAUACAAAGUAUUCAAUGGUUGGAAUCUGUAACUAUGGUUGUCUAAUUAGUUACUAUGGUCAUCUAAUUAGUUACUACGGUCAUCUAAUUAGUUACUAUGGUCAUCUAAUUAGUUACUACGGUCAUCUAAUUAGUUACUAUGGUCAUCUAAUUAGUUACUAUGGUCAUCUAAUUAGUUACUAUGGUCAUCUAAGUCACAGCAGCUCAGACGAUGCACCAAGCAGUGUGGGUGGGGAGCGUUUCCACAGAGAGUCAGCCUGAAACGUGGGUGUCAGGGACAGACGUGGAAGGAGAUUUUUACAAUGAAGUUCUAAAGCUUAGUGAUGUAUCAGAUACCGUAUUUCCUUGAAUUGCCACCAGGGCGCUAAUUAAUUUAAAACCUCUUCUCACUCCGGCGUUUACCAAAGGCACGCGGUAAAGGCAAGCAUGCGCUAAUUAUUUUAAAACCUCUUCUCACUCCGGCACUUACCAAAGGCAUGCGGUAAAUUUAGGCCUGCGCUUAUAAAUUUGAGUGAGGUGUAAGGAUGCCAUCAUGAAAAGCACAUUUAAUUAAAAAAAACGUUAUUGUGGUCUUACCUUUACUUAUAAAUGAAGUCCAAGCGCAGCUUCUUCUGAUCAAAAGCAUCGAUAACUUGUUUAUAGAAGUCUUCCUUAUCUUUCUUCGGUUUUAAAAGUCUCUCUGUCUCGAUGGAGAUCUUCCUUUAUUACUUCCUGCUUCGAUUGAAAGUCCAGUUUAGAAAACUUUUAUUUUAGAUGUGUAAUCCUCCAUGUUAAAAUUGCAAGCGAGAGGAAAAAUUAAACGAUCGCUGCUCACUCUUGCUGUUUGUUGUCACUUCUUCUGCAGCCGAGUUGUCGCAAGAAGGAUCACUAGCGCCCUCUACCACCAGGAGGCGGGAGUCAUUUAAUGACUCAUAUUUGACACACGCAGCUACGGUAUAUUAAUAAAACAUAGCUGCUUACUUUUCUUUUUAGCAUAUUCAAUAGCUUGGACCUUAAAUCCUACUGAAUAGCUCUUAAUCUUCUUCCCUUUAUGCGAUUUCAAAUGAUUGAAAAUGAUAACAGGUGAAGUGUCACUCGUGACGUGACGAGUUUGACCCGGCGGAAAUUCUAGACAUGCGCUAAUAAAAAUGAUAUUUUGCGAAACGAGUUUGACCCGGUGUUAAUCCUGAGCCGGCGGUAAUGCUAAGCAUGCGCUAAUUAUUUAGCGAAACGAGUUUGACCCGGCAGUAAUUCUAGGCAGGCGCAUACUAUAUACCCGGCGGCAAUUCAAGGAAAUACGGUAAAUCAGAUUGUAGGUGGUUUUUUUACCCUCUGUGUCCUUAUUUCGCUGUUCGUUGCAUUUCCCCUGAUUUUAAAAUAUGUUAUUGGAGAGCGGGUGUGACGUUCAUAUGUUGCCAAUAUUCAGUGUUUUAUCCUUCAUAGUUAAUAUUGUAAAUCCCACGUUCUUUAUUUUCAUGUACAUUCUGGUUGUCUCAUCUAGUAAAAAAAAAAAAAGUAAAAUUCCAUUCCGUUUUUUUUAAGGCGGUCUGUCAUAAGGUUUUUAGCUUUCAAUCAAACAAUAUCGUGAGGUUUUGUAUUAGUGUUCCGAAAAAACAAUUUUUGCCCCCGAGGCAAAAUAACUGCCCAGGCCUGCCUUAAUUAAAGUCAUGCGGUGCACAAGUUGGAAAACGUUAACACAUUCCCCCACGUCGACCCGCUUCCCCCUCCUCUCCGAGCUGUACUCACGCAGGGAAGUUAGAAAAGCGCUCACGUCUUCACUUUCACCGGCCUGUCAUUUUCUUGUCAGAAAGAGACCACUGUAUCUUGUUUUGGAACAUGACACUUUUUAACUGCAGGUGCCGGCCAUAGUGACUGUGUGCGCGUUGAUUGCUGAUGACAUCUCAUUAGCAGGCACUGUGACACCUCUGUGGUCAUGUGACUGAAGAAACAUGACAAUGGCAUCCAUGGACAUGAAAGUCAAGUGCACUGGCAGCCGUGGUCCUCCCUCUCCAACACUAAAGCGAGGUACACACAUGAAGAUCUUCUAAAUCUUGGAUGUGCUCCGAUAUUUACAUCGCACACCCACCGUUGUGUCCCACCACAAAGCCACAUUUAUUGAUUGAUUGAAACUUUUACUAGUAGAUUGCACAGUACAGUACCGUAUUUUUCGGAUUAUAAAUCGCUCCGGCCGAAAAUUCAUAAUAAAGAAGGAAAAAGACAAUUUACAAAUUGAAGCUGCAAGCAGUGAUGGAUGGGACCAAGUCUUUAUAGCCAUCUUUUAUAUUGAAGGGGGAAUUGCAAACUUCCUGUUGAUUUUAGCUGGGGGUUGUCGGUGUAUAAAAUAUAGGUCUAAGUGAGACCUACAUAUAGGUCUUUGUUUUAUGUGUCUCUGACAUUCCUACUGGGAGUUAGAGGAAGUUUUGUCUGAGCAGGCUGCCGCCAUCUUGAGACUCUAAUGCAGGGUUUGGGAACCUAAGGCUCUAGAGCCGGGUGUGCCUCUUUUGAUGACUGCAUCUGGCUCGCAGAUAAAUCUUAGCUGACAUUGCUUAACACGAUAAGUAAUGUAUAAUUCCGCUGGUAAUCACCGUGUUAAAAAUAACAUUCAAAAUACAAAAUAUUCUCAAGCAUUUUAAUCCAUCCAUCUGUUUUCUACCGCACCUGUUCAACAAGUAUAUUAUUAAUUAUUGGUUUGCUUAAAAAUAACAAUUUUAUUAAAAGAUGCGAGACUUAAUAUACUCUAAAAAUGUUGGUCUUACUUAUAAAUGUACGUAUUUAGUUGAAUUCAGUGUUAAAAAAAAAUAAUUAUAUGGCUCUCAUGGAAAUACAUUUUAAAAUAUUUGGCUUUCAUGGCUCUCUCAGCCAAAAAGGUUCCCAAACCCUGCUCUAAUGUAUUGCGAAUGGAGAGAAGCUUUUGUAUUGAAUGGAGAAUGGCAAACUUCCUGUUGAUUUUAGCUGUGGGUUUUCAGUGUAUGAAAUAGAGGUCUAAGUGAGCCAUACAUUGAGGUUUUUGUUUCAUGUGUCUCUGACAUUCCUACUUAGAGGCAGUAUUGUCUGAGCAGGGUGCCGCCAUCUUGAGACGGCAGCAGUGCACCAGCAGCAGAGCAGCGGUUCUUUGAGGGCUCAUAAAAUCCAAAUCGGAGCAGUAAUUAAAACUCUUUCAUCUAAUUUUGAUCAGAAGGGUUCAAUCUCUCUCCUGUGCUUAUUUGAAGCCGACACGACAAACACGCUCAGAGGAGAUAAUGUUUGAAAAGAGGUGACUGUUUUUACACAGUUUUUGUUUUGAAGGGGGAAUUGCAAACUUCCUGUUGAUUUUUGCUGUGGGUUGUCAGUGUAUGAAAUAUAGGUCUAAGUGAGACCUACAUAAAGGUUUUUGUUUCAUGUGUCUACGACAUUCCUACUGGGAGUUAGAGGCGGUUUUGUCUGUUUUCUUCCUAGGGGGCGCUAGAGCGCAAUUUUGAGUUUUGGGGUUUGGUUUUUUGAUUAGAUCGCAAUUUUUGCCCCACCUUGAUGUGUGUGUCCAAUUUGGUGAGUUUUGAAGCAUGUUAAGGGGGUCAAAUUACAGCUCAAAGAGGAGGCGGUAUAAGAAUAAAGAAUAAUAAUAAAAUACUAGAAAUCCAAUAGGGUCCUCUGUCCCUUUGGGACAUCGGUCCCUAAAUACUGUACAAUAUACAGAACAAAACAAGAGUACCAGAGUAAUAAAGUAAUAACAAUCAGUGUUGGACGUAUUGCACAGUUGGGUAUUAGGGUAGGAUAUUGUAUGGGGUGAAUUAUUUAUUACAAGUUUGUGUUCAUGAUGGUGACAGCUCUGAGCCUGUUUGUUCGGGCUCUGAUGCACCUGCAGUGCAAGACAGAAUUUUUUGUUGGAAAUAGGGAAAUCUUGACAGAAACAACCUGAUUGUCUUCAUGUGUGUGCCCUGCUUAAGAUGGUGUUCAAGCAAAGAAACAAAAGGUUUUGAUUCUUUCUUUCUUUCCUCCUCCUACCCAUGUUCACUUUCUUCUUCCAAUGUGUUUUCAUACUGAGUCCUGAAAAAAAGAAAAAGAAAUCUACACUUGCAAAACCAACCAACGCUCUUCUUAAUUUAAUCAUUACACUUUGUGAAACUGUUGAAAAAGUGUUUUUGUUUGCAAUUAUUCUUCAGCUGGUUGACAAAUAAAUGUUCAGUUCAUUCGCCCGGCCAAA